rnacentral:rRNA from 1 species
AGACUGUAACUGACGCUAAAGCUCGAAAGUGCGGGUAUCGAACAGGAUUAGAUACCCUGGUAGUCCGCACGGUAAACGAUGGAUGCCCGCUGUUUGCGAUAUACAGUAAGCGGCCAAGCGAAAGCGUUAAGCAUCCCACCUGGGGAGUACGCCGGCAACGGUGAAACUCAAAGGAAUUGACGGGGGCCCGCACAAGCGGAGGAACAUGUGGUUUAAUUCGAUGAUACGCGAGGAACCUUACCCGGGCUUGAACUGCAGAGGAAGGAUCUAGAGAUAGUGACGCCCUUCGGGGCCUCUGUGGAGGUGCUGCAUGGUUGUCGUCAGCUCGUGCCGUGAGGUGUCGGCUUAAGUGCCAUAACGAGCGCAACCCCUGCCGUCAGUUGCCAUCAGGUUAUGCUGGGCACUCUGGCGGGACUGCCACCGUAAGGUGUGAGGAAGGUGGGGAUGACGUCAAAUCAGCACGGCCCUUACGUCCGGGGCUACACACGUGUUACAAUGGGUGAUACAGAGAGCAGGUGCAUGGCAAUGUGCAUCGAAUCAUGAAAGUCAUCCUCAGUUCGGAUUGGGGUCUGCAACCCGACCCCAUGAAGCUGGAUUCGC